UAGGGAAUCUUCCGCAAUGGACGCAAGUCCGACGGAGCAACGCCGCGUGAGUGAAGAAGGAUUUCGGUUCGUAAAACUCUGUUGUUAGAGAAGAACAGCGCAUAGAGUAACUGUUAUGCGUGUGACGGUAUCUAACCAGAAAGCCACGGCUAACUACGUGCCAACAGCCGCGGUAAUACGUAGGUGGCAAGCGUUGUCCGGAUUUAUUGGGCGUAAAGCGAGCGCAGGCGGUCAAUUAAGUCUGAUGUGAAAGCCCCCGGCUCAACCGGGGAGGGUCAUUGGAAACUGGUUGACUUGAGUGCAGAAGAGGAGAGUGGAAUUCCAUGUGUAGCGGUGAAAUGCGUAGAUAUAUGGAGGAACACCAGUGGCGAAGGCGACUCUCUGGUCUGUAACUGACGCUGAGGUUCGAAAGCGUGGGUAGCAAACAGG
rnacentral:rRNA from 1 species